UGGGUGGUCGCGUAGCCUGGUUUAUCGCGCCCGCUUUGGGAGCGGGAAAUGUCGUCGGUUCGAAUCCGACCCACCCAA
rnacentral:tRNA from 1 species